rnacentral:snoRNA from 1 species
AUGGCUGUGAUGACUCCAUAGACCUGUAAUGAAUGUGGUUAUGAUCGCAAUCAAAGAACAUCUAAGGGACUGAGUCUGC